GGGACGUAGCUCAGUGGUAGAGCACUUGCUUAGCAUGUGUGAGGCCCUGGGUUUAAUCCCCAGUACCA
rnacentral:tRNA from 1 species